UGUCAGGGUCAUACCACCCUGAACAAGCCUGAUCCCAUCUGAUCUUGGAAGCUAAGCAGGGUCGGGCCUGGUUAGUAUUUGGAUAGGAGACCACCUAGGAAGACUAGGUGCUGUAGGCA
rnacentral:rRNA from 1 species